GUAACCUAACCACACACCAAUCACUAGGUUUUCCAUAUUUUAACUAGGUAACCUAACCACACACCAAUCACUAGGUUUUCCAUAUUUUAACUAGGUAACCUAACCACACACCAAUCACUAGGUUUUCCAUAUUUUAACUAGGUAACCUAACCACACACCAAUCACUAGGUUUUCCAUAUUUUAACUAGGUUUCAUCGAGAUUACACUGGCGGACGACUUCCUGACUGGAUCAUUACAAAGUUUAAAAUGGAAAAUAAAAAUGUGUUUAAAAUUUGAAAAAAUUGAAAUAAUAUAUUAAUAAAUAUAA